UAAUACAGAGGGUGCAAGCGUUAAUCGGAUUUACUGGGCGUAAAGCGCGCGUAGGCGGCUAAUUAAGUCAAAUGUGAAAUCCCCGAGCUUAACUUGGGAAUUGCAUUCGAUACUGGUUAGCUAGAGUGUGGGAGAGGAUGGUAGAAUUCCAGGUGUAGCGGUGAAAUGCGUAGAGAUCUGGAGGAAUACCGAUGGCGAAGGCAGCCAUCUGGCCUAACACUGACGCUGAGGUGCGAAAGCAUGGGGAGCAAACAGGAUUAGAUACCCUGGUAGUCCAUGCCGUAAACGAUGUCUACUAGCCGUUGGGGCCUUUGAGGCUUUAGUGGCGCAGCUAACGCGAUAAGUAGACCGCCUGGGGAGUACGGUCGCAAGACUA
rnacentral:rRNA from 1 species